CACAUAUACUACGUUGACUAACUGCCAUUACGUCCGAAAAGUCUAUUUUAAUCAGCUUUCAUCAUUUUAGUAUAGUUAAUUUUAGUAAAUUGUUAAGAGAAAAGGAUUAUUGAAAAUCGCGCUUUUGAAAAUAGUAUAUGACAAAAAUAUCACUCAUACGUCACGGUUCACCACUUGAAGUGCUGUUGGGACGGCAGUGCGUAUGCGCAAUUUUUUCAAUAUGGUAUACACUCGCUGGCAGUAAAUAAAUAUCACUCAUACGUCAGGUGUGUCCUACACAUUUCGUUUCGAGACAGUUUGAUUUGUAUGUCGAGACGUUUCGUGCAAUUCACGUGUGUCUGUAUUCUAGGGAGUAAAAUCAAUAUGAUCGCUGGCUGGGCAAAAGCGGCAGAGGGGCUGAAGAUGGAUAGCAUGCUGAAUUUCAAAUUCAAUUAAAAUUCAAUUAAAUAAUUAUUUGAAUCAAAAUUAAUAGUAAUAAAUAAAAAUUGUGUGCUGAAAUACCUGCAUUCCGUUGAAGACACUUCCAGUUACGCAGUGAUCAUGGCCGAAAUAUUAUUUUUUGUAAAGUCAAAAAACCACCAAGGAAUUGCUUAAGGGCGCAGAGUGACGGCAGGCAAUUGACGUUUAAAUGCUCUCCACCAACUUUUCUC